CCUAUGGGUGGCUGCAGUGGGGAAUAUUGCACAAUGGGGGAAACCCUGAUGCAGCGACGCCGCGUGAGUGAAGAAGUAAUUCGUUACGUAAAGCUCUAUCAGCAGGGAAGAAAUACUGACCUUACGGUCAGCAGACGGUACCUGAGUAAGAAGCCCCGGCUAACUACGUGCCAGCAGCCGCGGUAAUACGUAGGGGGCAAGCGUUAUCCGGAUUUACUGGGUGUAAAGGGGGCGUAGACGGUGCGGCAAGGCUGGAGUGAAAUGCCGCAGCUUAACUGCGGAACUGCUUUGGAAACUGGGGAACUAGAGUGCGGGAGGGGUAAGCGGAAUGCGUAGUGUAGCGGUGAAAUGCGUAGAUAUUAGGAGGAACACCAGUGGCGAAGGCGGCUUACUGGACAGUAACUGACGUUGAGGCUCGAAAGCGUGGGGAGCAAACAGGAUUAGAUACCCGGGUAGUC
rnacentral:rRNA from 1 species